GGGGAUGAUCGGCCUAGACAUGUGAACCCAAUCCUCCUGCGCGCGAUAGAGCCGGAUAACUCUCAAAACUUUCCACAAAUCAAAUGCAAAAUCUGUAAAAUCGCCUUUCGCGGUUAACGGUUUCUCAUUCGCUUACGCAAUAGCCUAAGCGACAUCACCUCUCUACGCUCCCCGCGCGGAGAGAUCAUGAUGUUAUAAAUCGGGGAUAGGGAGAGAACUGUUUCGGACUCUCUCAAAAGGCUUCGGCCUAUGAAACUCGGCGGUUGUGUGUUUUGAAAUUUUUAAAACACGACCGCUCAAAUCCGCUUCGGCGGAAAAAAAUCUCUAAGUCGCGUAGAAGCACAGGAUUCCUCACAUGCACGGCGGUUCGAUUCCGCCCAUCUCCACAA
rnacentral:tmRNA from 1 species